CGCUCCUCCUGCUCCCAGGGCUCGGCUCCCUCCCUCGAUCCCCGGGUCGGCGGCGGUUGUUGUUCCGCGGCGGCGGCCGCACCUCGAGUCCUAACCUCCGGCCGCCCGCUCGCUAGCGGGUCCGCGCGCGCGCGCGGCCAUGGAGCUGGAAGUGCCGGAGGAGGCGGAGAGUGCCGAGGGGGGGACCGUGACCUCGGAGGCGACCUGGUCCGCGGAGAGCGGCGCGGUGGCAGGUUUGGCCCAGAAAAAGACGGCCCUGACGGAGGCCCCGUCAGUGACUGGACAGCCGGGCCCUGGUCACGGGAGGAAGCUGGGCCAUCGGGGCGUGGAUGCAUCUGGUGAAACCACUUACAAAAAGACCACGUCUUCCACCCUGAAGGGGGCCAUCCAGCUGGGCAUUGGCUACACCGUGGGCAACCUGAGCUCCAAGCCAGAGCGAGACGUGCUUAUGCAGGACUUCUACGUCGUGGAGAGCAUCUUCUUCCCCAGCGAAGGCAGCAACCUGACGCCCGCUCACCACUUCCAGGACUUCAGGUUCAAGACCUACGCACCUGUCGCCUUCCGCUACUUCCGGGAGCUCUUCGGCAUCCGGCCAGAUGAUUACUUGUACUCACUGUGCAAUGAGCCUCUGAUUGAGCUGUCCAACCCUGGCGCCAGCGGCUCCCUCUUCUACGUCACCAGCGACGAUGAGUUCAUCAUUAAGACGGUGAUGCACAAAGAGGCAGAGUUCCUGCAGAAACUGCUGCCCGGCUACUACAUGAACCUCAACCAGAAUCCGCGGACGCUCCUACCCAAGUUCUACGGGUUGUACUGCGUGCAGUCCGGGGGCAAGAACAUCCGUGUGGUGGUCAUGAACAACAUCCUGCCGCGCAUGGUCAAGAUGCACCUCAAGUUUGACCUCAAGGGCUCCACAUACAAGCGGCGGGCCAGCAAGAAGGAACGAGAGAAGAGCAUUCCCACCUACAAGGACCUGGACUUCAUCCAGGACAUGCCCGAGGGUCUCCUGCUGGACGCCGACACCUUCUCUGCGCUCGUCAAGACGCUGCAGCGGGACUGCCUGGUGCUGGAGAGCUUCAAGAUCAUGGACUACAGCCUGCUCCUGGGUGUGCACAACAUCGACCAGCAGGAGCGGGAGUGGCAGGCUGAGGGUGCCCAGAGCACAGCCGAUGAGAAGCGGCCACUCGGUCAGAAGGCGCUCUACUCCACAGCCAUGGAGUCCAUCCAGGGCGGGGCCGCGUGUGGGGAGGCCAUCGAGACGGAUGACACGAUGGGGGGGAUCCCCGCCGUGAAUGGCCGAGGGGAGCGUCUGCUGCUGCACAUCGGGAUCAUCGACAUCCUGCAGUCCUACAGGUUCAUCAAGAAGCUGGAACACACCUGGAAAGCACUUGUCCACGAUGGGGACACUGUCUCCGUCCACCGGCCCAGCUUCUACGCCGAGCGCUUCUUCAAGUUCAUGAGCAACACAGUCUUUCGGAAGAACUCCUCCCUGAAGUCAUCACCAUCCAAGAAGGGCCGCGGUGCCUUGUUGGCCGUCAAACCCCUGGGGCCCACAGCUGCCUUCUCAGCCAGCCAGAUCCCCAGUGAGCGGGAGGACACGCAGUACGACCUGCGGGGCGCCCGCAGCUACCCCACGCUGGAGGACGAAGGCCGGCCUGACCUCCUGCCCUGCACACCACCUUCUUUUGAGGAGGCCACCACUGCAUCCAUCGCCACGACCCUGUCCUCCACAUCCCUGUCCAUCCCAGAGCGGUCCCCCUCAGAGACCUCAGAGCAGCCAAGGUACAGGCGGCGCACACAGUCCUCUGGACAGGAUAGCCGGCCCCAGGAGGAGGCACGCGUAGAGGAGGACCUGCAGCAGAUCACAGUGCAGGUGGAGCCCGCAUGCAGUGUGGAGAUAGUGGUCCCCAAGGAGGAGGAAGAGGGUCUCAGCCUCCUCACCUGUGCCAUGGAACAGCAGCAAACCCUUCCCAGGGAGAUCGGUGGGUUCAUUCAUACAAGGCUCUUGAGCAGGCUCGGCAUAUCGGUGGAGGCCGCCCCGGCCAGUGCCUCUGCCGUUGUUGUUGAAGCUGAAGCCGCCAGCCAGGCCUCGGAUGAGGAGGACACGCCCGCCACCGACAUCUACUUUGCACAGAUUAGAUGAGCCGGGAGCCUGGGUGAGGUAGGUACUGGGUGUCCAGGAGUCUGCAAAGUCUAGUCCACUGGCCCUCGAUGGUGGGUCAGAGGUCAGAUGGCCCCAGUUGCAACAGAGAAUGCCCGAUGCUGCAGCCCAGCUGCCUGCCCUCUUCCCAGACCUCCGUUUUCAUCUCUGCCUCCCAAGGGAAGCCCACCGAUGAGAGGAGCUGGGUGUACUCCCCACUCCACUAUAGUGCACAGGCCCACUCAGCCUCCGACGGCGAGAGCGACACAUAAUUUCUACAAAUCACCAACCAUAGGAGUGGAGCAUACACUUGGCCAGCCCAGCUCGGCCCAGAGCACAGGAGGUGCCACCUGGCUGCCACUGGAUCUCACUCGCCCACAUCCUCCCCUUGGCGAUGGUCACUGAUGCUCCGGGCUGCAAAGCAAUGACCCCGGUUCCGUCAACUACCUGCGCCUGUGAUACUGUGAACCUUCCUGAGUUUCCAAUCAUGUAUUUAUUUUGGGUCCUUACUCUUUGCACAGAGACAGCAGCACACAGCUGCUUUUUUUACAAAAACAAAAAACAAAACAAAAAAAAAACACAAUGGGAAAAGAAGACACUUCAUUCUAUGCACUUUUUGGUUCUUUGCUAUGCUUGCAUGUGUCUUGCUGAGAGAACAAGGCUCAUUGGCUUUGGGGACCUGUGACCCAGUGGUCCAGCCAUUCCAGGUGAAAAUCCUGCUGAGUGUCCGCCGUCACCGCCCUGCUCCGCCUCUGUCUAUCUUGGAUGGGCACCUAGAAGGAAGGGCCACCAGGUCCCCACUGGUUCCCAGGGCACCUCUGGAAGCCACACACCUGUGCCCAGCAGCUGCUCUCAGCUCAGGUUUGUGGGCCGGGUGCCAGGCAUCUGCCCUUGGGGGAGGCCGCCUGGUGGCCUGGGGUGGCUCACCACCCUGCUGACGCCUCCAUCUCUCAGCGUAUGUUUCACACCACCCCCACCUCCCAGGUGACUUGGAGCAGAAAUAGCCUGGCAGUGACUAGAAUAUGGACACACGGCCACCCCCUCUCUCGAUGGAGCUCAGGGCUGUGGACGUCUCUCUCAUCCAUGUGGACCGCCUAGUGUCUGUCUGGAAGAUAGGGCCCAAGUGAUGGGAGACACCUUUUCAAAGAAGGAUUUCUGAAACAUCCGACUCAGAGGAGGCAGCUGGGCCCUCAGCCACAGGACUUCCGGAAAGCAUGUGUCCUGGAGCAGGGCCCUCCCCAGGGGCAGGCACAAGGCCUAGAAAGACCUGCAGCAAGAGGCCCCCAUGACGGGUGGGCAGCCUCUCUCUCAUUUUUAAAUGAUGAAGACACCUGUGCAGAUUAAAGGAAAAAAUUCUUUAAUGAAAAACAGUAUUUUUAUUUUUAUUUUUGUCAUCUUCAACAGGGGCAGCCAUUCCAGGGCCCCCCUGGGCGACCGCCAGGAUACGCUGCUGUGUCCGGAGGGGCUGCUGUAGCCGACAGCUUUGCAGAGUCACUCCUCCCCCUAGACACACUUCCACCCCCUGAGAUGAAACGUCAGUGAUGGCUGCCCCCUGCCCACUCUGUGGACCCCCGCCAGCUCAGGCCCACAUGGGAACAGCUGGGAACCGACCCGGAAUAGAAGCCACAUCUUUCGGAAGAAUUUCUCCCCAGCCCCGGCCUCCCUGGUGGAGCCUGAGACAGCUAGGUAACUCGCUGACGUAGGAAUCUGACUUUUUGAGUCCUUUGCAAGCUGCACAUACUGUUGCUGGUUCUUGCUAUGCAGGUCCCUCCUCAUCCCACCUCGGACAGCCUGCCGGAGGGGACCUGUUGGUCUGGCUGCUGUCCACUCUUCCCGGAGAACCAGGCUGCGCCCCGAGGCUCUCCUGCUGUCUGCACAGGGCAGCACCUCAGCUCUGAGCAGGGCCAUGGGAGACUCUGUGCAGCCUGGGGAAGGGGCCCUCAGAGAAUCCGCCAGAAUAAGCUGCAGGUAGCCUGAACAAGAAGCAAGACAGCAUUCUUCCCUACUGCCCAAGGAGCAUUUGUCCAGACCCUGGGGAACACCCUCACCUGGAUUUCAGACCAGCGCUGUCUGCAGACACCCUGGCCAAAAGUCACCAGUCUGUCCUGACCAGUCCCACCAAGAAGGCAGGCAGGCCGAGCAGGCAGACUUCUGGAGGACUAACAGGGACAGCUGCGUCACCCAAACACCAACGUGGGAGUCACCACCCAGGCGCCCAGAGGCUGGGCCCCAGAGACAUUCUGAGCCCCAGUGGCGAUGACCAGUGGAGCAGCACAGUCCUGGGGCAGUGGGCCCUGCGUCCAGGGCAUCCUUGGUCAGUAUAGAAAUGAGCAAGGGAGUUGCCUGCUGGGCCCCUUGAGCUCUCCUGAGUGAAUCACAGAACAAAUGCAGCGGUUGGAUGCUGACUUGUAGGAGAAAUUUGCAAACCUCCUGGAUAUGACAUUUCUGUUUUCGUGUUAAGUCAGGAAGACCCCUUUGGAGACCCAUUUUGUGUUUUAUUCUUUGUCCCAGGACUGUGCUGAUGGGAGGCAUUUGUCCAUUCUUUUCUGGGCAGGGGGGCAGGAAGGCAAGACCUUAUUUAUAACUGUAGUGGACCCAUGGCCUUCCUCAGACCCCUGACCAGGAAGGCCUGGGCCAACCCACCCGGCCCCCCAAAGAUGGAAAUCUGUAAAUUGUCCCUGUUUCUCUCCUGACUCAUCUUUGAUGGCCGCUGUCGCUGAGAACAUGGGCAGCGUCUGACGUGCUGUACUGUAAAAACGAAAGGCAUUCCCUGAGGCUGACAAGGUAGAACCUUCUGUGUGUCCCCUGCCAGCCGCCUCUCAAACCCCCCAACCCCCUCCACCACCUGGCUUAGUGCAAUACUCCCAUCCCUGAUGGGGUCUCUUGCCAUGGUACUGUCACCACAGCCCACAGUCCCCAUCCCAACCUUGUUUUUAUGGCUGAACUGAUUUCAAAACACAACGAAACUGCAAACCUUGUGUGUCUUAAUUCUCACCGGGGCUUCCGCGUGCUCAGCCCCUGGUCUGGUAUGUGACAAUCCAGAGCGCAGCCUCCUGGGCGCCUCUGUAACCUUACAGCCACUGCUGGCCCUGAUAACACUCAUCUGCAGCCCCGGGCCCCACCCCUGCCACCCCUUCCUCUUUUUAUGUUGAAGAGAUCUCUAAUAAAUCGGGUAAUACUCA